UACGAAGGGGGCUAGCGUUGCUCGGAAUCACUGGGCGUAAAGGGUGCGUAGGCGGGUCUUUUAAGUCAGGGGUGAAAUCCUGGAGCUCAACUCCAGAACUGCCUUUGAUACUGGACGACUUCUGAGUUCGGGAGAGGUGAGUGGAACUGCGAGUGUAGAGGUGAAAUUCGUAGAUAUUCGCAAGAACACCAGUGGCGAAGGCGGCUCACUGGCCCGAUACUGACGCUGAGGUGCGAAAGCGUGGGGAGCAAACAGG
rnacentral:rRNA from 1 species